AUUGAACGCUGGCGGCAUGCCUUACACAUGCAAGUCGAACGGUAACGCGGGGCAACCUGGCGACGAGUGGCGAACGGGUGAGUAAUGCAUCGGAACGUGCCCAGUAGUGGGGGAUAGCCCGGCGAAAGCCGGAUUAAUACCGCAUACGACCUACGGGUGAAAGGGGGGGAUCGCAAGACCUCUCGCUAUUGGAGCGGCCGAUGUCAGAUUAGGUAGUUGGUGGGGUAAAGGCCUACCAAGCCGACGAUCUGUAGCUGGUCUGAGAGGACGACCAGCCACACUGGGAAUGAGACACGGCCCAGACUCCUACGGGAGGCAGCAGUGGGGAAUUUUGGACAAUGGGCGCAAGCCUGAUCCAGCCAUGCCGCGUGCGGGAAGAAGGCCUUCGGGUUGUAAACCGCUUUUGUCAGGGAAGAAAUCUUCUGAGUUAAUACCUCGGGAGGAUGACGGUACCUGAAGAAUAAGCACCGGCUAACUACGUGCCAGCCGCCGCAGUAACAC
rnacentral:rRNA from 1 species